rnacentral:rRNA from 1 species
GCAAGGAAUAUUGGGCAAUGGGCGAAAGCCUGACCCAGCGACGCCGCGUGGGGGAUGACGGCCUUCGGGUUGUAAACCCCUUUUCUCAGGGAAGAAUAAUGACGGUACCUGAGGAAUAAGUCUCGGCUAACUACGUGCCAGCAGCCGCGGUAAUACGUAGGAGGCUAGCGUUAUCCGGAUUUACUGGGCGUAAAGAGGGUGUAGGCGGCUCUUCAAGUCGGACGUGAAAUCUCCCGGCUUAACUGGGAGGGGUCGUUCGAUACUGUUGGGCUAGAGGGCAGCAGAGGAAGGUGGAAUUCCCGGUGUAGUGGUGAAAUGCGUAGAUAUCGGGAGGAACACCAGUGGCGAAGGCGACCUUCUGGGCUGUUUCUGACGCUGAGGCCCGAAAGCGUGGGGAGCGAACAGGAUUAGAUACCCGAGUAGUCC